AUUGAACGCUGGCGGCAGGCCUAACACAUGCAAGUCGCACGAGUGGCUGACGGGUGAGUAAUGUCUGGGAAACUGCCCGAUGGCGGGGGAUAACUACUGGAAACGGUAGCUAAUACCGCGUACCAUCGGCUGUGCCCAGAUGGGAUUAGCUUGUAGGUGAGGUAACGGCUCACCUAGGCGACGAUCCCUAGCUGGUCUGAGAGGAUGACCAGCAACACUGGAAAUGAGACACGGUCCAGACUCCUACGGGAGGUAGCAGUGGGUACUAUUGCACAAUGGGCGCAAGCCUGAUGCAGCCAGGCCGAGUGUAUGAAGAAGGCCUUCGGGUUGGAAAGUACUUUCAGCGGGGAGGCGUUACCCGCAGAAGAAGCACCGGCUAACUCCGUGCCAGCAGCCGCGGUAAUUC
rnacentral:rRNA from 1 species